rnacentral:lncRNA from 1 species
AAGGAGGGUUACAAAAGGGGAAGCCGUGUUGAGGAAAACAAAGAUGGCAGUGACAGUGACGACGAUGAUGAUGAUGAUGAUGAAGACGCUGAUGAGGAUGACGACGAUGAGGAUGAUGCUAAUGAUGAAGAUUUCUCAGGUGAUGAAGGGGAAGAAGCUGAUCCAGAGGAUGAUCCAGUGGCCAACGGUGGUGGAGGAGAAAGCGAUGAUGAUGAUGACGAUGAUGAUGAGGAGGGUGAUAAUGAUGACGAUGGAGAUGAGGACAACGAGGAUGAGGAAGAAGACGAGGAUGAGGAAGACGAUGAUGAUGUUCGUCAGCCUCCUUCUAAGAAGAGAAAAUGAAAUCAUGAGUUUAACAAAUGUUUGUGCUUUGGAUAUGGUUAAGACUUGAAGAGGAUGAUGAU